AUGUUGGCAUCCUACCUACUACAUAAAGCAUUUUUAAGUUACAUUGAUGCUGUGAAGGAAGUAUAUGAAAUGGACAAGUUCGAUGUACACAAAAGGAGACUAGAUGGUGAACUGAAAGGGGUUCCUGCCAUCGCAACAAUAAAAGCAUAUAUGCAGUAUGUUGUCCGACAAGGUGGCAUUGACGCGAAGCAUAAAGCAAUGAACAUGGCUCAGUACGCUCAGAAAAAGUUGGAUUUAGCAGAUGAGCUGAAGUUGGACAAAGAGGGUGGAGUUGUUCCAUUGGAAAGACCCUUCGAGUUCUGA
rnacentral:rRNA from 1 species